rnacentral:misc_RNA from 1 species
AUCCUGGCCAAAUGCGAGCGCGAGGGAGAAAACGUUCUGGCGGUCUAUCGCGAAGAAGGCGAGAGCGCCACCAACAUGAAACGACCGGCGUUCGAGCAGAUGGUGGCGCGUGCCACGGACGGCACGCGCACCGUCGAUGCCAUCAUGGUCUAUUCGUUCUCGCGCGCGUUCCGCAAUCAAUUCGAGCAGGAGCUGACAGUCCGUGCCUUGCGUAAGCACAAGGUCGAGUUGAUAUCGUUUGCGGAGCCGCUGACCAAUGAUGCCAGUGGUGAUCUGUUCAGAAAGUUCAUUGGGAUCGUCAACGAAUUUCAGUCUG